rnacentral:rRNA from 1 species
UACGUAUGGUGCAAGCGUUAUCCGGAUUUACUGGGUGUAAAGGGAGCGUAGACGGCUGUGCAAGUCUGAAGUGAAAGGCCGGGGCCCAACCCCGGGAGUGCUUUGGAAACUGUGCGGCUAGAGUGUCGGAGAGGCAAGUGGAAUUCCCAGUGUAGCGGUGAAAUGCGUAGAUAUUGGGAGGAACACCAGUGGCGAAGGCGUCUUGCUGGAUGAUGACUGACGUUGAGGCUCGAAAGCGUGGGGAGCAAACAGG